ensembl:lncRNA
CUGCUGCUGCUGCUGCUGCUGCUGCUGCUGUCUCUGCUGCUGGGGACGUUCCACCCAGCCCCUACCCUCCCAUCACCCACCAGGCCACUGCGUCCCCAGCCCAGGGCCGGGGCAACGGCCAGGCCCAGGCAUCACAGGCCUCUGGCCACAGGCCCUUGGGUCAGCCCAACGUCGCUGGCAAACCCGGAGCUCCGAAGAUGAAAGCCAACCCCAACCCGACUCCCAUGCCGGAGUCCAAUAAAGACAGCAUUACCAGGAGGAGAGCUCCAGGGAUCCCCAUUAACAAGGACAAGCCAGCCAAGAAGUUUGCUCCGGUGGUGACAACUCCUCUGCCCCCUAGUGGUGACGUGGUGAAGUACUCAGCUCGCACCCAUGACCACAUGAUCCCCAG